rnacentral:rRNA from 1 species
GACGAACGCUGGCGGCGUGCUUAACACAUGCAAGUCGAGCGGUAAGGCCCUUUCGGGGGUACACGAGCGGCGAACGGGUGAGUAACACGUGGGUGACCUGCCCUCAGCUCUGGGAUAAGCCUGGGAAAACCGGGUCUAAUACUGGAUAUGACUCCAUGACGCAUGUUGUGGGGUGGAAAGCCUUGUGCGGCUGAGGAUGGGCCCGCGGCCUAUCAGCUUGUUGGUGGGGUGANGGCCUACCAAGGCGACGACGGGUAGCCGGCCUGGGAGGGCGACCGGCCACACUGGGACUGAGACACGGCCCAGACUCCUACGGGAGGCAGCAGUGGGGAAUCUUGCGCAAUGGGCGAAAGCCUGACGCAGCGACGCCGCGUGAGGGAUGACGG